rnacentral:rRNA from 1 species
UGAUCCUGGCUCAGGACGAACGCUGGCGGCGUGCUUAACACAUGCAAGUCGAACGAUGAACCAGGGCUUGCCCUGGGAAUUAGUGGCGAACGGGUGAGUAACACGUGGGCAACCUGCCCCAGACACCGGGAUAACCUUCCGAAAGGAUGGCUAAUACCGGAUAUGACCACUUUGGGCAUCCAACGGUGGUGGAAAGGAUUCUGGUCUGGGAUGGGCCCGCGGCCUAUCAGCUUGUUGGUGGGGUAAUGGCCUACCAAGGCGACGACGGGUAGCCGGCCUGAGAGGGCGACCGGCCACACUGGGACUGAGACACGGCCCAGACUCCUACGGGAGGCAGCAGUGGGGAAUAUUGCGCAAUGGGCGAAAGCCUGACGCAGCGACGCCGCGUGAGGGACGAAGGUCUUCGGAUUGUAAACCUCUUUCAGCAGGGACGAAGCGAAAGUGACUGUACCUGCAGAAGAAGCACCGGCUAACUACGUGCCAGCAGCCGCGGUAAUACGUAGGGUGCAAGCGUUGUCCGGAUUUAUUGGGCGUAAAGAGCUCGUAGGCGGUUUGUCGCGUCGGAUGUGAAAACCCAAUGGCUUAACCUUGGGCCUGCAUUCGAUACGGGCAAACUAGAGUGUGGUAGGGGAGACUGGAACUCCUGGUGUAGCGGUGGAAUGCGCAGAUAUCAGGAAGAACACCGAUGGCGAAGGCAGGUCUCUGGGCCAUAACUGACGCUGAGGAGCGAAAGCGUGGGGAGCGAACAGGAUUAGAUACCCUGGUAGUCCACGCCGUAAACGGUGGGCACUAGGUGUGGGGAACAUUUCCACGUUCUCCGUGCCGUAGCUAACGCAUUAAGCGCCCCGCCUGGGGAGUACGGCCGCAAGGCUAAAAC